rnacentral:rRNA from 1 species
UACGUAGGGUGCGAGCGUUGUCCGGAAUUAUUGGGCGUAAAGAGCUUGUAGGCGGUCUGUCGCGUCUGCUGUGAAAAUCCGGGGCUCAACCCCGGACUUGCAGUGGGUACGGGCAGACUAGAGUGUGGUAGGGGAGACUGGAAUUCCUGGUGUAGCGGUGAAAUGCGCAGAUAUCAGGAGGAACACCGGUGGCGAAGGCGGGUCUCUGGGCAGUUACUGACGCUGAGGAGCGAAAGCGUGGGGAGUGAACAGG